GGAAGUUGAAGUAGCGUCUGAGGGUAGGUGUCCCCGCGCAUGCCCUAACCUUUACGCGCCAGUCUGUGGUGAGGACGGAAAUACUUAUUCCAAUGCGUGCCAAGCUGAAAAUGAGAAUGUGGCUGUUGCCAGCGAAGGCGCUUGUUAAGAAAACGGAGGAACUAUCUACAUUCCCUCAGCUCGGUAAAAAGAUUUCCAAAUGUCCUGUGCUAAAAUCUUGUUUCUGUUACAAUUAUAUUAAGUCAACACAGACACUAUGUACAGCUUUU